AGAGUGAAGCCGUAAGCCCUGAUGACUCCAGUAGCGUUGAGGAGGGCGAGGUGCUGGAAACGGCAAGAUCACUUUAUGGAGGCAAAAGGAAGCAGGCCAGAGCAGCAGGGCAGGGCCGCGUCCUAGCUUGCUGACGACCUGCAGAGUAGCUGUUAAGUGAUUCCGGGUCACGGGGCCAAGCAGUGAUGUGAACUUAAUCUGUUUUGCCAGCGUCCUACCUCCUAUGCUUAGAGACCAUCCCUCAGCGAUGCGCAUUGAGAGUUUUGCUGAGAGAACUCUGAGACACCUGAUCGCCCGCAAUUUGGAAGAAACAAUGUGUCCUCUGAUCAACAGCUGGCUCUACAACCUGGAUCAGCGCUUGGUCAAUGAAAUCAGCACGGUGCUGAGAGAGGACAGCUCCCAGGACAGUAGCGCGGGGGCCGCAGAGUGAAGGAGCCCCGUCUGUCCUACACUGACGCGGGUCCUGCUCGCUGAUCUCCAUCGGAUGUCCUUGGUCUCCAGGUCUCCAACUGCUCAGAUCACGUUGAUGAUUCAGCCACUGGGCCCAAGGACCCCCCACUUCCCUGGGAAUGGAGGCUCUCUCCGCAAAUCCUCACCAGAACCCACAUGCUGAUUCCACAUAAUCUUCCAAUAAAUGAUUUGCAGCCUGUCCUGCCUACACAGUGCUGUGUGGUGGAGGCCACGGGCAUCAGAGACUUGGUAGCUCGAGUCGUGGUGGCAAAAGGUGG